AACUAAGCUAAACUCGCGAGACAAAAGGUUAUUAUUAUUUAUUUAUGUUAUAAUAUUUCUUUUGGUAUAUAUAAAAAAAUUAUGUUAUAAUUUUACUCAGUUAUAUAUUGCUUUUUUUUUGUUACUAUAAUAUUGUUACGAAAUUUUCACUGUCGUUAACGAUGACUAAUCUCUGUUGGGGAAUCUGUGGGACACACAAGGUGAGUUCUCCCCUCCAAACUUAUUUUUCCCAUACACAUGAACCAGAAAUCGAACCUCUGAUCACAUAUUUAAGGGGAUCAAAAUUCUUACCACUUAUACUAAUUGUUGGUAAGUAGCUAUCUAUUCAUAUAUUGCUUUAGUUGGUAAAAUAUAAGAUUUCGAGAUUAUGUUUCCUUAUUCAAUACUAUGCCAAUUUUAUUUUAUUUUACAAUUUAAUAGUUUUUUACCAUCGAUUUAACUGUGGAACAAACCCUCAAAUCUCCUUCAAAUAAAGUGGUCAAGUAUGAGAAAAAAUAUGUUAUUACAAUCAAUAUAUUCUUAUACAAUUUAUAUUUAACACUUUUGUUUUCCUAGUAACAGUAUAGUUGUGGAUUUUCUAAAAAGAGUUCAAAGAAACAACGAGUCAUGCUUAAUUAACAAUGUUGACUGUUGAGUCUCUUAUGUCUCUAGAUGUAGUUUUAAAAUUUUGUCAUCCAAAAAAGUUAGCGAUAUGGCAUGUUGCUAGCUUGUCUUUCAUUGGAGUGUAAC
rnacentral:lncRNA from 1 species